AGCGGGGUAGAGCAGUCUGGUAGCUCGUGGGGCCCAUAAUCCCAAGGUCGCGGGUUCAAAUCCCGCCCCCGCAA
rnacentral:tRNA from 1 species